AACGAACGCUGGCGGCAGGCUUAACACAUGCAAGUCGAGCGCACUCUUCGGAGUGAGCGGCGGACGGGUGAGUAACGCGUGGGAACAUACCCUUCACUGCGGAAUAGCCUCUGGAAACGGAGAGUAAUACCGCAUACGCCCUUCGGGGGAAAGAUUUAUCGGUGAGGGAUUGGCCCGCGUUGGAUUAGGUAGUUGGUGGGGUAAUGGCCCACCAAGCCGACGAUCCAUAGCUGGUUUGAGAGGAUGAUCAGCCACACUGGGACUGAGACACGGCCCAG
rnacentral:rRNA from 1 species